AUUGAACGCUGGCGGCAGGCCUAACACAUGCAAGUCGAGCGGAUGAAGGGAGCUUGCUCCUGGAUUCCGCGGCGGACGGGUGAGUGAUUCCUAGGAAUCUGCCUGGUAUUGGGGGAUAACGUCCGGAAACGGGCGCUAAUACCGCAUCCGUCCUGAGGGAGAACCUGGGGGUUCUUCGGACAUCACGCUAUCAGAUGAGCCUAGGUCGGAUUAGCUAGUUGGUGGGGUAAAGGCCUACCAAGGCGACGAUCCGUAGCUGCCCUGAGAGGAUGAUCAGUCACACUGGAACUGAGACACGGUCCAGACUCCUACGGGAGGCAGCAGUGGGGAAUAUUGGACAAUGGGCGAAAGCCUGACGCAGCCAUGCCGCGUGUGUGAAGAAGGUCUUCGGAUUGUAAAGCACUUUUAGUUGGGAGGAAGGGCAGUAUGUUAAUACCUUGCUGUCUUGACGUUACCAAAAGAAUAAGCACCGGCUAACUACGUG
rnacentral:rRNA from 1 species